rnacentral:tRNA from 1 species
AGUCUUAUAUUCAUGUUUGUGAUGGUAGAAUGCAAUUCUGCAGGGAUGGUAUAUAUUUGACCAUUAAGGCCU